UGCGCAGGUGGGCUUGUAAGUCAGUGGUGAAAUACUGCCGCUUAACGGUAGAACUGCCAUUGAUACCGCAAGUCUUGAAUAUGGUUGAGGUAGGCGGAAUGUGUCGUGUAGCGGUGAAAUGCAUAGAUAUGACACAGAACGCCGAUUGCGAAGGCAGCUUACUAAGCCAUUAUUGACGCUGAGGCACGAAAGCGUGGGGAGCGAACAGGAUUAGAUACCCUGGUAGUCC
rnacentral:rRNA from 1 species